rnacentral:rRNA from 1 species
UACAGAGGUCCCGAGCGUUUGUUCGGAUUCAUUGGGCGUAAAGGGUGCGUAGGCGGCGGGGAAAGUCUGAUGUGAGAUCCUGGGGCUCAACCCUGGAACUGCAUUGGAUACUUCCUUGCUAGAGUACUGGAGAGGAAACUGGAAUUUACGGUGUAGCAGUGAAAUGCGUAGAGAUCGUAAGGAAGACCAGUGGCGAAGGCGAGUUUCUGGACAGUUACUGACGCUGAGGCACGAAGGCCAGGGGAGCAAACGGG